rnacentral:rRNA from 1 species
UUCCAGACUCCUACGGGAGGCAGCAGUGGGGAAUCUUCCGCAAUGGGCGAAAGCCUGACGGAGCAACGCCGUGUGAUCGAAUGAAGGCCUUCGGGUUGUAAAGAUCUGUUGACAGGGACGAAUAAGCAAUGCGAAUAGUUUUGUGUAUGACGGUACCUGUUUAGAAAGCUCCGGCUAACUACGUGCCAGCAGCCGCGGUAAUACGUAGGGAGCAAGCGUUAUCCGGAUUUACUGGGUGUAAAGGGCGCGUAGGCGGGAUGGCAAGUCAGAUGUGAAAUCCGGGGGCUCAACCCCUGAACUGCAUUUGAAACUGUCGUUCUUGAGUACUGGAGAGGUUGACGGAAUUCCUAGUGUAGCGGUGAAAUGCGUAG